GCAGAGGGCGCUUUGGCUUUGGCAGCGGUCCAAGUUCCUUGGAACAGGACGUCACAGAGGGUGAGAAUCCCGUACGUGGUCGCUGGCUAUUGCCGUGUAAAGCCCCUUCGACGAGUCGAGUUGUUUGGGAAUGCAGCUCUAAAUGGGAGGUACAUUUCUUCUAAAGCUAAAUAUUGGCCAGAGACCGAUAGCGCACAAGUAGAGUGAUCGAAAGAUGAAAAGCACUUUGGAAAGAGAGUCAAACAGCACGUGAAAUUGUUGAAAGGGAAGCGCUUGCAGCCAGACUUGCUUACAGUUGCUCAUCCGGGUUUUUACCCGGUGCACUCUUCUGUAGGCAGGCCAGCAUCAGUUUGGGCGGUAGGAUAAAGGUCUCUGUCACGUACCUCCUUUCGGGGAGGCCUUAUAGGGGAGACGACAUACUACCAGCCUGGACUGAGGUCCGCGCAUCUGCUAGGAUGCUGGCGUAAUGGCUGUAAGCGGCCCGUCUUGAAACACGGACCAAGGAGUCUAACAUCUAUGCGAGUGUUUGGGUGUCAAGCCCGAGCGCGUAAUGAAAGUGAACGGAGGUGGGAACCCGCAAGGGUGCACCAUCGACCGAUCCUGAUGUCUUCGGAAGGAUUUGAGUAAGAGCAUGGCUGUUGGGACCCGAAAGAUGGUGAACUAUGCUUGAAUAGGGUGAAGCCAGAGGAAACUCUGGUG
rnacentral:rRNA from 1 species